rnacentral:misc_RNA from 1 species
ACGAGAAAAAGGCGUUCGCGCCGCUCUCUCAAACCUUUGCGUACCCAAUCUUGUCUCUUGCGGGGGGUCCGCCCCCCGCGAGGAACCAAAACAUUUGUUUGAUGUUGUCAGAAACUAAACAAAAAGAA